rnacentral:rRNA from 1 species
CCUACGGGUGGCAGCAGUGGGGAAUAUUGGACAAUGGGGGCAACCCUGAUCCAGCCAUGCCGCGUGUGUGAAGAAGGCCCUCGGGUUGUAAAGCACUUUCAGUGAGGAAGAACGCCUGGUGGUUAAUACCCAUCAGGAAAGACAUCACUCACAGAAGAAGCACCGGCUAACUCCGUGCCAGCAGCCGCGGUAAUACGGAGGGUGCGAGCGUUAAUCGGAAUUACUGGGCGUAAAGCGCGCGUAGGUGGCUUGAUAAGCCGGUUGUGAAAGCCCCGGGCUCAACCUGGGAACGGCAUCCGGAACUGUCAAGCUAGAGUGCAGGAGAGGAAGGUAGAAUUCCCGGUGUAGCGGUGAAAUGCGUAGAGCUCGGGAGGAAGACCAGUGGCGAAGGCGGCCUUCUGGACUGACACUGCCACUGAGGUGCGAAAGCGUGGGUAGCAAACAGGAUUAGAUACCCGAGUAGUC